ACUAUUCUUGUACCACGAAAUGCUUCGAGUGUGGGCUCAAACUAUUUGAAUCAAACACAAAACCAAAAAUAGUUUUCUUAACUUUAAGUGUGAAAAUGAAAAUCUCUUCUCAAUAAAAACCAACAGAAUUGUUAUUCUGGAAAAUAGAUUUAAUAUUCAGAGAAUAAAACUCUCACUAUUUUCGGGCAGAGUAAAAAUAUCUUAAAAGUUGUAUAAAUAGCCCUAUCGAUGUUAUCUAUUUAUAGAAGAAGAAGUAAAACCCUUGUUGAAUUGUAGAAGUUUAUUUCAACUAGAAAAAUGAACUCCUAAUCUAACUAAAAGUAUAAGGGGUGACAACCUUAGUUAAAUAAAUUAGGGUUUGUUGCCCCUUUUAUUAAACAUGAGGGCUUUUGGACCUUUCCCAUAUUGGGUCUAAUUACAAGUACUUCUUGGACUUUUAACUUAGUACUUAAUAAUUUGAUCCAACCUGAUAUUUAUUUUUCUAUUUUCCAAAAUAAAAAUCUCAGUUAAUUCUAAUUAAAUAAUCUUCUCAACCCAAUUCUAAUUCUGUUAUAAUUAUAAUGUCUUUACCGUAAAAAAAUCUAUGAGAAAAUAUAUUUAAUAUUUCUACAUUUAACGAUUCACUAUUACCAAAUGAUUUAUUUUCAUUUUCGAAAUUCAUUUUAUUCAAAAAAUAUAUAUUUAUUUUCAUGUCAUUUUUAUUUUUAUUUUGGAGAAAACCACAUUCAUUUCUAAAUGAUUCCAUUUUCAUUUUCAUUUUCAUUUUAAAGAAAACCAUAAUCAUUUCCAAAUGUUUGUCAUUUCUCCAUUUUUACAAUUUCUAUCCAUUUUUGUUCAUUUGACUCAACAUGCAAUUCAUUUAUGGUUUUAAUGAGUUAGUGGAGGGAUUAUUCUCAAAUGAUUUAUAAUUAAGUUCUAUCUUUUCGCCUAUUAAUUAUAAACUCAUUUAGUCACGAAGUUAUUCCACUAUAGUAUAUUGACUGAGCUCUCCUCCAACGACAUACCAUUAUGAAAACAACUCAAUCAGUGCUCGUCCAAUGACUUUGUCAUAAGUGUGUUACCUUCAUAUGAUAUUCUUAAUCUAUUUGGGACAAUAUCCAUUCUCCCAAUAUGAUCAUAUUUGAUCUCAUGGUAACCAUUACAUCUUCUUUAAUGAAAAGUCAAUUAUUAUCAAAUAAUAAUCAAGUCAUUCAUCACAAAGAUGAACGACUUGUGGUCACAUUUACUUUUCAUCAACCAUGUAAUACCAAUGAAAUAAUAUCAUUUACCAAUGUCUCGGGCUAUGAAUUCCAUUGUUGUGAAUGAUGUUACAUGCUACAGAAGUUGUAUAUCCAAGGCACCAGCUUUCGGUUCCUUUUCUAUUUGAACUCAAGCUUUUACUUACAUCAAAGUACAUGAUUCAUGCAUAAAUAAUCCAUCAUCUGCUCAAGAUUUGAGUACGCUACACUAUGAACGUCAUAAGUGGAUAAAUCCAUAAACGAAUUUAGAAUCUAUUCUUCUUGGGACUUGCCGGUAUAUUGUUAGUCCGGUCAACUACAUCUAUGUCUUUAUCUUUUAGGAUUCCUUUGCUUCGAUGCCCAAGAUAAAGCAUCUCCCCAAUUGAACAUGAUAAACAACAUAUUAAUCUUUCAAUCGGCUUGCUCAUUUCCGAUUAGACUAAGGAUAUAUUUAGGUUCGUCUGCUAAUAUAAGUUGUCUUUCCGUAUUACGAUCUGACCACGUAAUAUCACUUAGUAUUAGUUUAAACAUUCGAAAACCAAUGAGAGUUAAGAUAAAACAUAAAAAAUCGGUUCUAUUAGACACUUGGCUUUUAUAAUGAAAUGUUAUUAUAGCGGGUGGUUGUUAUAAAGAGGGUUUACUAUACAUGUUAUUGAUGCAUAAGAAUCUCAAGCAAUAAGAAUAUCUAUAACCUUGGGAUACGGAUAGCAAGAUGAUAGUAGCAACAGACACAUGGUAUGUUUCAUGGGAAACAUGACAUAUGUAGCAUUACAGCAAUAAUGGCAACACCGACCAUGGGCAUCAACAAUGCAACCAACAUCCAAGUACAAAAAUAUCCUUAAGAUUGUUGGAAACCAAGAAUAUGAGUUGAAUAACUUGAGGCCUGUUGAACAUUCUUUAAGGAUAUUUCGUCAUAUAGCGUAUCCCUUAGAAUUCAACAAGCUCUUUCGCUAUAAAAUGGGAAUAAUGAUUAACAAUCAAUUACAAUAGAAAAUAUUCAGCAAACUCAAAAGGAGGAGAUGAAGAGCUAGAGGAGAAUGAAAG
rnacentral:lncRNA from 1 species